AACUGCUAUUUACAUCCUAUUUGUUCAUAUAUGUCAUAUUAAAAAAUUAAUCCUUUUCAUUGGUAUAUUUGGUUUUAAGAGUAUUUUUCUCAAUACUCUUGGAGGGUGAAAGUCUGAGUUUUUUUCAUAAAAACCAUUCAUUCCCCAGUUCAGAAUUUCUCUGCUAUUUUUUGCCUCUAAGUCCUUUCACGUCAGAAUCUAAAUUCAUUUUUACCACAGGAAACCUGUCUAGCUCGUUGUCAGCCAGUGACAGUGGAAAGGACAGGAUUACGGUCUCCAAAACCCCGCGGCCAGCACCGAGACCAUGAGCAGCCAGAGACAGUGGCCAGGAAGGAGCCGGCAGGCUGCAGUCACAUGGAGGCGCAGAGAGCUCAGUUCAGCCUUGUCCUGGCCUAUGACCCGAGAGGUGUCAGUCUCCCCUGGAAAUGACAUCCCACGACCUGCCAUUGGCCAUAGCACACUGAGUCAGUUGGAUGAUCAGAACUGAUGACUAAACCCGGCAGGACCGGGCUUAGCCCAGGCAGGCUUGCUCAAGCUGACGCUGGGGCCGGAGCCGAUAAACAAUGUGGUGCCAUAGACGCUUGCUCUGUGCCUUCCUUCUCUGCUAACGUGCCUCUGUCAGAAAAGUGGACCAGACAGGGCGUUGCCCACACUCUGAAUCACAAAGACCAUAUUAUAGAGGGUUUAAGAAGAUCCCGUGAAGAAUUCACACCUUCAGCCAAAAAGACCAAGAGUUCCUGGGAGACAAGAAGCAUCCUUCAUUUGAGGGUGUGGGAAGGAGCACAGACAUAUAUGGUCUAUGACCACAGGUAGGAAAAUAACUUGGAAUUUUCACAGGUGAGCACCUAUCACUGCAGCCAUGUUGCAGGUCGUGUCCUUGGAACAUAAUUGGAUCUGUCAGCCCUGACAAACACAGGAUUUCUGCUCCAAUCCACUGAGAACCCACUGUUCUAACUGCUUGUGGGAUUUGUAUUACUACCUGCCUUGCUUCUCCCACAUGAUUCUUGUUCAUUUGAGUCUUUUCACGUGCUCUUGCUCUAUGAUAUGCUGGCCAGUCUAUACAGCAUUCCACUUGAUCAUCUGCUGGAAAAGGGGCUUUCUGUUGACUUUUAAAACCUGUAUUAGUUGAACAGUCAACUAAUAUAGUAAGUUUCAAGGUAAGGUUCUUUUGAAUAUUUGAAAAGAAAAAUCCCAUGGGAACUCAUGACAGAAUGGAAUAGUGGAAAAAGCACAAACUUGGAGUCUCAUAAGCCCUGUGAGAUCUGCAUCUGUUUCCUCACUGCAUACUUACAGUGCAGAGCUGUGAUGUGCAUGGAGUGAGAUAAACAAGUAUAUAAAGUACCUGGUGCAGUAUUGUGAGACAUUAGUUAAAACCCAAUUCAUUUUCUGUACCCUCCUCCCUACGUGUUCUACAUCUCUUCUCUGAGUUAGAGUCUAGCGAGUAAGAAGACAGUUGCAUGUGCCGGGCAUCUCCCUGGAACCUACAUUCUUGGCCCAGAGAUGUUUACAUGCAGUAUGCAGGGUGAGGAGGCUGUCAGCAUUGAGAUUAAAAUAAUAAUGAGUUUAUUCUCCUGAAAACAAGGUCUAGCUAAGCUGAUAUUUUAUGCCAUGACUGUCUUAUAGAGAAAGAUGGUCUCUUCUUUGUACUUCUGAGCAUUUUUGAAAGGUGCAUUGCAAAAGACUGAGGAAUUCCAAGAAAUUUCAAGCACACCAUUAGAGUAUCAGAAGAGAAUAACCGAUGGGUACCCUUUAUCCCAAGAGUCGUAGACAUGGAUUUUUCCGGAGGAGGCUGUGUCUCAGUGCAGGCUGCCAU
ensembl:lncRNA